rnacentral:rRNA from 1 species
UGAUCCUGGCUCAGGACGAACGCUGGCGGCACGCUUAACACAUGCAAGUCGAACGAGAGAAGAGAAGCUUGCUUUUCUGAUCUAGUGGCGGACGGGUGAGUAACACGUGAGCAAUCUGCCUUUCAGAGGGGGAUACCGAUUGGAAACGAUCGUUAAUACCGCAUAACAUAAUUGAACCGCAUGAUUUGAUUAUCAAAGAUUUAUCGCUGAAAGAUGAGCUCGCGUCUGAUUAGCUAGUUGGUAAGGUAACGGCUUACCAAGGCGACGAUCAGUAGCCGGACUGAGAGGUUGAUCGGCCACAUUGGGACUGAGACACGGCCCAGACUCCUACGGGAGGCAGCAGUGGGGAAUAUUGCACAAUGGAGGAAACUCUGAUGCAGCGAUGCCGCGUGAGGGAAGAAGGUUUUAGGAUUGUAAACCUCUGUCUUCAGGGACGAAAAAAGACGGUACCUGAGGAGGAAGCUCCGGCUAACUACGUGCCAGCAGCCGCGGUAAUACGUAGGGAGCGAGCGUUGUCCGGAAUUACUGGGUGUAAAGGGAGCGUAGGCGGGAUCGCAAGUCAGAUGUGAAAACUAUGGGCUUAACCCAUAAACUGCAUUUGAAACUGUGGUUCUUGAGUGAAGUAGAGGUAAGCGGAAUUCCUAGUGUAGCGGUGAAAUGCGUAGAUAUUAGGAGGAACAUCAGUGGCGAAGGCGGCUUACUGGGCUUUAACUGACGCUGAGGCUCGAAAGCGUGGGGAGCAAACAGGAUUAGAUACCCUGGUAGUCCACGCCGUAAACGAUGAUUACUAGGUGUGGGGGGACUGACCCCUUCCGUGCCGCAGCAAACGCAAUAAGUAAUCCACCUGGGGAGUACGACCGCAAGGUUGAAACUCAAAGGAAUUGACGGGGGCCCGCACAAGCAGUGGAGUAUGUGGAUUAAUUCGAAGCAACGCGAAGAACCUUACCAGGUCUUGACAUCGUAUGCAUAGCUCAGAGAUGAGUGAAAUCUCUUCGGAGACAUAUAGACAGGUGGUGCAUGGUUGUCGUCAGCUCGUGUCGUGAGAUGUUGGGUUAAGUCCCGCAACGAGCGCAACCCUUACUGUUAGUUGCUACGCAAGAGCACUCUAGCAGGACUGCCGUUGACAAAACGGAGGAAGGUGGGGAUGACGUCAAAUCAUCAUGCCCCUUAUGACCUGGGCCUCACACGUACUACAAUGGCUGUUAACAGAGGGAUGCAAAGCCGCGAGGUGGAGCGAACCCCUAAAAGCAGUCUUAGUUCGGAUUGUAGGCUGCAACCCGCCUACAUGAAGUCGGAAUUGCUAGUAAUCGCAGAUCAGCAUGCUGCGGUGAAUACGUUCCCGGGCCU